rnacentral:rRNA from 1 species
CAGUCGCCGCGGUAAAACGUAGGGUGCAAGCGUUAAUCGGAAUUACUGGGCGUAAAGCGUGCGCAGGCGGUUUGUUAAGACAGAUGUGAAAUCCCCGGGCUCAACCUGGGAACUGCAUUUGUGACUGGCAAGCUAGAGUGUGGCAGAGGGGGGUGGAAUUCCGCGUGUAGCAGUGAAAUGCGUAGAUAUGCGGAGGAACACCGAUGGCGAAGGCAGCCCCCUGGGCCAACACUGACGCUCAUGCACGAAAGCGUGGGGAGCAAACAGGAUUAGAUACCCGCGUAGUCCCUGUCUCUUAUAC